CCUACGGGGGGCAGCAGUGAGGAAUAUUGGACAAUGGAGGAGACUCUGAUCCAGCCAUGCCGCGUGCAGGAAGACGGCCCUAUGGGUUGUAAACUGCUUUUAUACGGGAAGAAAAACAGCUACGUGUAGUUGACUGACGGUACCGUAAGAAUAAGGACCGGCUAACUCCGUGCCAGCAGCCGCGGUAAUACGGAGGGUCCGAGCGUUAUCCGGAAUUAUUGGGUUUAAAGGGUCCGUAGGCGGGCCAUUAAGUCAGGGGUGAAAGUCUGCGGCUCAACCGUAGAAUUGCCUUUGAUACUGGUGGUCUUGAGUUAUGGUGAAGUGGCUGGAAUAUGUAGUGUAGCGGUGAAAUGCAUAGAUAUUACAUAGAACACCGAUUGCGAAGGCAGGUCACUAACCAUAUACUGACGCUGAUGGACGAAAGCGUGGGGAGCGAACAGGAUUAGAUACCCUGGUAGUCCACGCCGUAAACGAUGGAUACUAGCUGUCCGGGUCCUUGAGACCUGGGCGGCCAAGCGAAAGUGAUAAGUAUCCCACCUGGGGAGUACGUUCGCAAGAAUGAAACUCAAAGGAAUUGACGGGGGCCCGCACAAGCGGUGGAGCAUGUGGUUUAAUUCGAUGAUACGCGAGGAACCUUACCAGGGCUUAAAUGCAUAUUGACAGGGGUAGAGAUACCUUUUCCUUCGGGCAAUUUGCAAGGUGCUGCAUGGUUGUCGUCAGCUCGUGCCGUGAGGUGUCAGGUUAAGUCCUAUAACGAGCGCAACCCCUACCGUUAGUUGCCAGCGAGUCAUGUCGGGGACUCUAACGGGACUGCCGGUGCAAACCGUGAGGAAGGUGGGGAUGACGUCAAAUCAUCACGGCCCUUACGUCCUGGGCCACACACGUGCUACAAUGGCCGGUACAGAGAGCAGCCAUCUGGCAACAGAGAGCGAAUCUACAAAACCGGUCACAGUUCGGAUCGGGGUCUGCAACUCGACCCCGUGAAGCUGGAAUCGCUAGUAAUCGGAUAUCAGCCAUGAUCCGGUGAAUACGUUCCCGGGCCUUGUACACACCGCCCGUC
rnacentral:rRNA from 1 species